rnacentral:rRNA from 1 species
UACGGGGGGAGCAAGCGUUGUUCGGAUUUACUGGGCGUAAAGGGCGCGUAGGCGGCCACGACAAGUCACUUGUGAAAUCUCCGGGCUUAACCCGGAACGGUCAAGUGAUACUGUCGGGCUAGAGUGCAGAAGGGGCAACUGGAAUUCUCGGUGUAGCGGUGAAAUGCGUAGAUAUCGAGAGGAACACCUGCGGCGAAAGCGGGUUGCUGGGCUGACACUGACGCUGAGGCGCGAAAGCCAGGGGAGCGAACGGG